UAUGAGAAAAAAUGUCAGGUUUUGAUGUGAGACUAUCUUAGAAAACUACUAUUUUGACUAUGAUAGGAGAGUGGUAGGAUAGUCAAACUUGGAGGAUAGGUGGUGGAAAGGUGGAGGUAUGUCUGUGUGGAAGGAGGUUAGUGGAGGUAUCUUGUGGAGGGAGAUAUGGAGGAAAGAAGAGGAGGAGAUGGAGGGAAAUAUGAGAAAAAUUGUCAGGUUUUGAGAUGAGACUAUCUUAGAAAACGACUAUUUUGACUAUGAUAGGAGAGUGGUAUGAUAGUCAAACUUGGAGGAUAGGUGGUGGAAAGGUGGAGGUAUGUCUGUGUGGAAGGUGGUUAGUGGAGGUAACUUGUGGAGGAGAUAUGGAGGAAAGAAGAGGAGGAGAUGGAGGAAAUAUGAGAAAAAUUGUCAGGUUUUGAUGUGACUAUCUUAGAAAACUACUAUUUUGACUAUGAUAGGAGGGUGGUAGGAUAGUCAAACUUAGAGGAUAGGUGGAGGAAAGGUGGAGGUAUGUCUGUGUGGAAGGAGGUUAGUGGAGGUAUCUUGUGGAUGGAGAUAUGGAG
rnacentral:lncRNA from 1 species